GCCAGCAGCCAUAUCACCCUGCAGCUCUCAACUGGCUAUCCACUGAAGCUAAAAAGGGUUGAGCAUGGUCAGUACCUGGAUGGGAGACCUCCUGGGAAGCCAUGGUUGCUGUUGGAA
rnacentral:rRNA from 1 species